rnacentral:rRNA from 1 species
CCUACGGGAGGCAGCAGUGAGGAAUAUUGGUCAAUGGCCGGAAGGCUGAACCAGCCAAGCCGCGUGAGGGACGAAGGUUCCAAGCAUUGUAAACUUCUUUUGCCAAGGGACAAAAUCAGGUUCGCGACCCUGACCGAGGGUACUUGAAGAAAAAGCAUCGGCAAACUCCGUGCCAGCAGCCGCGGUAAUACGGAGGAGGCGAGGGUUAUCCGGAUUUAUGGGGUUAAAGGGGUGCGUAGGCGCCCUGUUAAGUCAGCGGUAAAUGCCCGGGGCUCAACUCCGGCGCGCCGUUGAAACUGGCUGUCUUGAGAUGUCGAGAGGUAUGCGGAAUGCGCAGUGUAGCGGUGAAAUGCUUAGAUAUUGCGCAGAACUCCGAUUGCGAAGGCAGCAUGCCGGCGGCGAACUGACGCUGAGGCACGAAAGCGUGGGUAUCGAACAGGAUUAGAUACCCGGGUAGUC